AACCUCCGCAAUGUGAGAAAUCGCGACGGGGGGAUCCCAAGUGCCAUUCUUAACGGGAUGGCUUUUCAUUAGUGUAAAGAGCUUUUGGAAUAGGAGCUGGGCAAGACCGGUGCCAGCCGCCGCGGUAACACCGGCAGCUCUAGUGGUAACAAUUUUUAUUGGGCCUAAAGCGUCCGUAGCCGGUUUAAUAAGUCUCUGGUGAAAUCCUGUAGCUUAACUGUGGGAAUUGCUGGAGAUACUAUUAGACUUGAGACCGGGAGAGGUUAGAGGUACUCCCAGGGUAGAGGUGAAAUUCUGUAAUCCUGGGAGGACCGCCUGUUGCGAAGGCGUCUAACUGGAACGGUUCUGACGGUGAGGGACGAAAGUUAGGGGCGCGAACCGGAUUAGAUACCCGGGUAGUCCUAACUGUAAACGAUGCGGACUUGGUGUUGGGGUGGCUUUGAGCUGCUCCAGUGCCGAAGGGAAGCUGUUAAGUCCGCCGCCUGGGAAGUACGGUCGCAAGACUGAAACUUAAAGGAAUU
rnacentral:rRNA from 1 species